rnacentral:rRNA from 1 species
UGGGGAAUCUUGCGCAAUGGCCGAAAGGCUGACGCAGCGACGCCGCGUGGGGGAGGAAGGCCUUCGGGUUGUAAACCCCUGUUGCCCGGGACGAAUGCAUUCUUGAGAGAAUGUUGACGGUACCGGGUGAGGAAGCACCGGCUAACUCCGUGCCAGCAGCCGCGGUAAUACGGAGGGUGCAAGCGUUGUCCGGAAUCACUGGGCGUAAAGGGCGCGUAGGCGGCUCAUGAAGGCUGUGGUGAAAGUCCGGGGCUCAACCUCGGAUCGGCCGUGGCGACUCGUGGGCUGGAGCACUGUAGAGGCGGGUGGAAUUCCGGGUGUAGCGGUGGAAUGCGUAGAGAUCCGGAAGAACACCAGUGGCGAAGGCGGCCCGCUGGGCAGUGGCUGACGCUGAAGCGCGACAGCGUGGGGAGCAAACA